rnacentral:tRNA from 1 species
GGGUUCAUAGCUCAGUGGGAGAGCAAUCGGCUUUUAACCGACAGGCCGUAGGUUCGAGUCCUACUGGACCCA